rnacentral:rRNA from 1 species
UUAUACCUAUUCGAAGGGAUAGGGUCGGUUCGGCCGGGUUUCACACAGGUGUUGCAUGGCUGUCGUCAGCUCGUGUCGUGAGAUGUUGGGUUAAGUCCCGCAACGAGCGCAACCCUCAUCCUUAGUUACCAUCAGGUAAUGCUGGGGACUUUAAGGAGACUGCCAGUGAUAAACUGGAGGAAGGUGGGGAUGAUGUCAAGUCAUCAUGGCCCUUAUGGAGUGGGCUACACACGUGCUACAAUGGUGGCUACAAUGGGCUGCAAAGUCGCGAGGCUAAGCCAAUCCCUUAAAAGCCAUCUCAGUUCGGAUUGUACUCUGCAACUCGAGUGCAUGAAGUUGGAAUCGCUAGUAAUCGUGGAUCAGCACGCCACGGUGAAUACGUUCUCGGGUCUUGUACACACUGCCCGUCACGCCAUGGGAAUUGGUUUCACUCGAAGCUA